AUUUAUAUAGUUUAAUAAAACAUUUCUUUUUCAAAGAAAAGAUGAAUUCAAAUUCUAUGAAUA
rnacentral:tRNA from 1 species